rnacentral:rRNA from 1 species
AGUGAACGCUGGCGGUAGGCCUAACACAUGCAAGUCGAACGGCAGCACAGUAAGAGCUUGCUCUUACGGGUGGCGAGUGGCGGACGGGUGAGGAAUACAUCGGAAUCUACUUUUUCGUGGGGGAUAACGUAGGGAAACUUACGCUAAUACCGCAUACGACCUACGGGUGAAAGCAGGGGAUCUUCGGACCUUGCGCGAUUGAAUGAGCCGAUGUCGGAUUAGCUAGUUGGCGGGGUAAAGGGCCACCAAGGCGACGAUCCGUAGCUGGUCUGAGAGGAUGAGCACCAACCCUCGACGGGGGGCACGGGUGGGAAUUCUUCGAGAGGGGGCGGAGGCCUAUCCUGGCCAAUCCGCGGGGGCGAAAAAGGCCUUCGGCGUGUAAACCCUUUUUGUGGGAAAAAAAAAACGGCAGUUUAACCCCCCUGUUUUUGACCGUACCCAAAGAAUAAGCCCCGGCUAACUUCGUG